ACAUGUAUUUUUUUCGCUCUUGGAUCUUUGCUAUUUCACACCAAUAUGCUAUUGUACAUCAUCCAUCUGACGACUGAUAUUACUGGUGGCUUCUAAUUUUUUUGGCAUAUGGCAGGAAGAAAGCAUGAGAGUGGAUAAGCUGAUGGAAAAAAUCGGCGUGUUCUUGGGUCAUUAAAAACCUUGUGGCUGUUUUCUGCUGAUAAUGAAAGCAAACCACGUUUCUGGACCUUCCUGUACGGACUUUAUUUGGGUCUCUCUAACUAAUAGAAAAUUUUCUUUUCAUGAGUUGUUUUGGCUCAUUUAGUGCCCACUGCACAAGCAGUAGCAGAGACGAACAAUGUAAAUAUCUGCAGCACAAUGUAACUAAAGAAUACUUUAGCUUUUUAAGAAAGAAGCUUGAAUAUGGAAGUCAAAAUUCUUCAGCAGAAAAAACUCACUUCUGUCCUCAUUGCAUCAGAUUGACUGUUCAAUUUUAAGGCUGUUUUUGGACUUUCAAGCAAACCAGACAAGCGGAUUCUCGAUGUUGUGAUUGUUGAUAAUGUUUUAUUUAGCCAUUGCGGGGUAUUAUGAGGAAAUCUACAAGUUGGCAGAGGAGGGCAAAGUAGGAAAAUACAAAUAUGAAGGACAAAAUAUAUAUGGCAUCAAAUGAAAAGAGAGCUCAUAGUCUCUUUUGCCAGCUCCAGAUGACAUUAUCCUACUGCUCUAUAUUUAAUUUGCUUGGUCCUAGCAGUUCAUUAACAUCAACAAAUACUUCCCCGUAUUAACAUUACAACGAAUUAAAGUUAUAACCAUACUUAAGUUCAUUCGAAGUCGGCAAUUCACAACCUCUAUGUUGGGGACGAAAUGAGGAGGCCAUUCUCAGAAUUCAUAUGGCCACUCAAUCGUAUUGAAUUAGCAAAUUCUGUUAUUAAAGAAAAGGUGUUGUUGUCCUCUGUACUUCACUACAAUCCCAUGCUUAGAAAAUGUUUAGACACCCAAUGCGUUCCAUAUGUAUGGGCUUUUCUUAGUUUUUUUUCCAGACUAUUGGCUCAUGUGUGUUGUAUAAUCAGCUCUAUGAGUUUUUUGUGUCUCCUCUAUGUUUUGUGGAUGCAAAAUAGGAAAGAGGGAUUUCUAGUUUAUGUUGGUGCAUUGAAAUUUUAGUGUGGAACUGUAAUCUCUCUGUUUUUUACUGAGCAUUGUGAGAUGCUUUACUCUUCAUGAUGAAUUUAAUUUAAUUCAGCCUUCGGUCAGAGGCGGAUCUAGAAUUUAAAUUUUAGGGGUUCAACAUCUUAAAUUUUUAGCACUAAACCAUUAUAUUUCUAAAGUUAUGGGUUCAUAUCUACUAUUUAUUAUAAUUUUAGUAAAUUCUGACACAAAUUUAUCUCCGCAUUAAAAGUUUGGGGUUCAAUUGAACCCCAAGUUAUAGUGCUCCAUCCGCCUCUGCCUAUGGUUAUAUUUAUGUGUAGAGAGCUCAAAAAUAAUGUCACUCCUGAUAAAAUGGCAGAGGUACGGCGGGAAAAGUUUUCACCAAAUCCAGUCUCGCUCCUUCAUACAAAAAUAAAUUUAGCGAUAUAAAAUUUUAUAUUUUCCUACUUUGCCCUCCUGAAAUAUUUAAAAAAGGAGUUGCUUUAUUGUUUUGCAAAGAAAUAUAUAGAUUAGGGUGCAAAUUAUUAAAAAUAGUAGGAUAGGGUGUAAAUUACAAAAGAGAACAGACGUUAGAAGUGCAAAAUGCCAAGGACUCUAAAUAUUGUACUUCUUUUCACAAUUUUCAACAUUGUCUAACAUUAAAAAAUCAUAAAAUCCAUCCUUAAAUUUUGGGGUCUAAAAAAAUUGGGAGCCUAAAGCAAUGGCUUUACUGGCCUCACCAUUGAGCCACCUCUACUCAUGCGCCGCCCUCUGGGUCUGAUAUUCUGGCAUUGGCCUCUUCGACCAUGCACCUUGCCACUUUGUUUCGAUCACCUUCGCACUCUUUAAGCAGUUUAAUAAUAUGCUGGGGACGUGAAACAUAUUAUGCACAUUCUUGUAGCCAUGAAAGUAAUCCUUCAGAAAGCAGCCAGGUUUACAGAAUUGUUUUGCCUUCUUGCAUGCAACACGGAUCAGCCAUUGAUACAAGAAUAAAGAACAAAACAUAUGAAGUCUUGAUUAAAAGGAAAAGUAGUGGAAUGUUUAGACGCAGAAAGAA